rnacentral:lncRNA from 12 species
AUGAACAUCUCAACAAAUGAGGGGCUGAUUCUAAAGAGGCUCAAAGCCAUUGAAAAGUCUCCAGAGGACAUCAUUAAGGCAGUAAAUGCAGAUUUCACAUCAGAGCCGAUCUAUAUUCAUUCAACAAUUCCAAACAUGCGAAAGCCCAGCACACCCCUGAUAAACCAGAGGAAGAAACAAGACCUUGAAACUGAAGCAAAAACCGACCAAGCCAAACCUGGUAAACUGAAAGAAGACUACAGACUGUUUUCAAUAUUUUAUAUAAUGUAGAACAGCAAAAUAAAUAUUUUAUACAGGCUUUUCCAAACUGGGUUUAACUUAUCCUUGGGAGUUCAUGAGAUGCUUAAAGGGUUAGUUCACCCAAAAAUGAAAAUUAGCCAGUGUUUUACUCAUCCUCAUCCUAGGUGUAUAUGACUUUCUUCUUUUAGAUGAAUCCAAUUUUUAUUGGAGUUUUAUUAAAAACUGUCCUAGCGUUAUUAUUGCAGUGGGUGGGUGUUUCUGCUCAAAAGUCCAAAACACAUUAAAUAAAGCACGUGCAUCCAUAAUAAAACGUGCCUCACAUGGCUCUGGGAGGUGAAUAA